rnacentral:rRNA from 1 species
GUGGGGAAUCUUGCGCAAUGGGCGAAAACCUGACGCAGCCAUGCCGCGUGAAUGAUGAAGGUCUUAGGAUUGUAAAAUUCUUUCACCGGGGACGAUAAUGACGGUACCCGGAGAAGAAGCCCCGGCUAACUUCGUGCCAGCAGCCGCGGUAAUACGAAGGGGGCUAGCGUUGCUCGGAAUUACUGGGCGUAAAGGGCGCGUAGGCGGACAGUUUAGUCAGAGGUGAAAGCCCAGGGCUCAACCUUGGAAUUGCCUUUGAUACUGGCUGUCUUGAGUACGGGAGAGGUGAGUGGAACUCCGAGUGUAGAGGUGAAAUUCGUAGAUAUUCGGAAGAACACCAGUGGCGAAGGCGACUCACUGGCCCGUUACUGACGCUGAGGCGCGAAAGCGUGGGGAGCAAACAGGAUUAGAUACCCCGGUAGUCC